GAUUAACGCUAGCGGCAGGCCUAAUACAUGCAAGUCGAACGGUAACAGGUCCAGCAAUGGAUGCUGACGAGUGGCGCACGGGUGCGUAACACGUAUGCAAUCUACCCUUAACUGGGGGAUAGCCCCGAGAAAUCGGGAUUAAUACCCCAUAAUAUUAUGAAGCGGCAUCACUUUAUAAUUAAAGCUCCGGCGGUUUUGGAUGAGCAUGGGCGACAUUAGCUAGUUGGUGAGGUAACGGCUCACCAAGGCUGCGAUGUCUAGGGGUUCUGAGAGGAUUCACCCCCACACUUGUACUGAGACACGGACCAGACUCCUACGGGAGGCAGCAGUAAGGAAUAUUGGUCAAUGGACGCAAGUCUGAACCGGCCGUGCCGCGUGAAGGAAGACGGCCCUACGGGUUGUAAACUUCUUUUGUACAGGAAAAAACCACCGGUCGUGAACCGGUGCUGAUGGUACUGUAAGAAUAAGCAUCGGCUAACUCCGUGCCAGCAGCCGCGGUAAAAC
rnacentral:rRNA from 1 species